GACCGACUCGUCGGCACUCUGUUCGUCACGGUCGCGGCGUCCGGAAGAGUUCGGCUCGUCCGCCAUGGUUACCUGCAGAGCACGGGAAACCAGUCAGUUGAGCACGAAGUCCUACGCUCGACAAAAUCAUGUCGUCCCAUACACGACUACAUAAGUCCAUUUUCCACGAAUGGUUGCCUCCCCGACGUCCUGAACCCGAUGUUCUUCCUCAAACCAACUGCGCGGCCACUCUGCAAGCAUGUCGACCCGAGGCAUGAACAUGGCGAGCCGCACCAUGAAGCCUACGGCCAAGACCAUGAACAUACCGGGCGCGAUCAUGAAUCAGGCGCCCUGGAUCAUGAAGACCCCGGGCAGCUCUGA